rnacentral:rRNA from 1 species
GAUGAACGCUGGCGGCGUGCCUAAUACAUGCAAGUCGAGCGAACAGAUAAGGAGCUUGCUCCUUUGAAGUUAGCGGCGGACGGGUGAGUAACACGUGGGUAACCUACCUAUAAGACUGGGAUAACUUCGGGAAACCGGAGCUAAUACCGGAUAACAUUUAGAACCGCAUGGUUCUAAAGUGAAAGAUGGUCUUGCUAUCACUUAUAGAUGGACCCGCGCCGUAUUAGCUAGUUGGUAAGGUAACGGCUUACCAAGGCGACGAUACGUAGCCGACCUGAGAGGGUGAUCGGCCACACUGGAACUGAGACACGGUCCAGACUCCUACGGGAGGCAGCAGUAGGGAAUCUUCCGCAAUGGGCGAAAGCCUGACGGAGCAACGCCGCGUGAGUGAUGAAGGGUUUCGGCUCGUAAAACUCUGUUAUUAGGGAAGAACAAAUGUGUAAGUAACUGUGCACAUCUUGACGGUACCUAAUCAGAAAGCCACGGCUAACUACGUG